rnacentral:lncRNA from 1 species
AUUUUUGUGAAAAGAUGUAAUUAUACAUUCUCAUUUACAUUCUUAAAAAAUAUUAAUAUCAUUAGUGAAUAAUCUCGUUCUUCGAUCUAUUCUAUAGGAAUAAAAUGAGUUUUCAGAUUGAUUUAACUAAAAAACUUAGAAUGGAUUCUAACCGGUGACUCAGUGGAUCGAUUAGAGUGUGAAUCGUGAUCGAAACCAUGAUUCGAGCAUAUGGUCCUAACCCAUAAACUCGAACCCACCGAUGGCAGCUUGUCUGCGAGCAUAGACGAGCGAUCAUAUCAGGUCGUUAACUGAUAUUAAUAGCAGGGCGCGGUGAACUCCCUUUGUCUGUCACAUUCUCUCUUGUUCUCUUUCUCUCUUUUGGACGGGCACUGUCCCACCUAAGGGACCCUUUGCCCUAAUUGUAACAAAUUAAAUCACACGAUAUCGACAAUUCCCUCGGGUGAAAUCUGCGCGCGGCCGAAACGUGCCUCGAUUAUAUACGCCUUUUCAACGCUCUGAUCUAUCCUCGUCGAACUAUUGUUUCCAAUUAAAGGGUUGUAUAUUCAGUUACAGAUAUCAUAUUCAUGGUUGUUCCCGAUUAGAAUAAAAUGGAGAGAUGCCAUUGUUUAAAUCUCGUGAUUCUUUUAUUGGACUUUUUGUUUCAAUAACAUAUAACCUAAAUUUGUAAUAAUGUAAAUUACGAUAAAAGUUGUAGAGAUUAAACUUCUCGAUUAAGACUUAGUAUUCGAAUAUUUUGAUUGAUUUUUUAGCGGGAAUGGAGAAUUUUUUGCGAAACUAAGAGAAAUCUUUCUCCGGAAUGUCGAGGUGGAUUUAUAAGCAUGCGAAUAAACUCUUUUUAAUAUGCAGCACUAACCUGUUGAAUGCAUUGUGUUCGUGACAAGCAGUGAUUACAUUUGUUCUCCCGAGUUAGAUACAUUUUUUAUCAUUUCAACGAUCGUGUUACCGAUGAUAACCGCGUUAACCGCUGCUCGGUAUCGUUGUAGAUCAAGGUUGUUUUAAUAUAUUACUUUCUGGUCUCGCGGUUAACUCGAAUGAAAACGGACCAAAAGAACAAUGAGCAGGGAAACCAGGAAAUUUUUUACGUGACAAACAAAACUUUCCCUUUCCAAUUCUUCAAAGUUCUUCGAUUCUUCAACAAUCCUUUAUUCUCUUCCCUUAAUAAGAAUCUAUUUAUCAAACAAUAAAAAAAAAAAAGAAAAGGGAGAGGAAGAGAAAGGAAAAGGAGAGGUAAUGAAAAAGCUGCAAGUACAAGGACUUGGAUAUCUGUUGUGUAAGAGAAAAGGGAAGAAAGACGAGGGAAAACUAAAAAGUAUGGUAACGGAGACGACUUUUGAUAUUUCCUGGCGUUACCAUUAGCCAAGCACGGGCCUCGAGCAGGCGAGGG